rnacentral:lncRNA from 13 species
AGUGGAAUGUAAUAAAUUGAGUGUUUAUGUCACCCAAGUUUCAUAUGUUGGAACCUAACUCCAAGAUGAUGGUAAUAGGAAAUGGAGCCUUUGGGAGAUGAUUAGGUCAUAAAGACAGAGCCUUCAUAAUCAGAAUUAUUGCCUUUAAAGAGAGUCCUCAGAGUGCUCUCUCAUCACUUCCACUGUGUGAAGAGGUAGCAAGAAGGUGGGUUUUCAUGAGACACCAAGUCUACUGCUGUGUUGAUCUUAAACUUCCCAACCUCAAGAAUUGUAAGAAGUAAAUAUCUGUUGCUAACAAGCCACCCAGUUUUUGUUGUUUUGUUAUAGCAACCUAAAUGGAUCAAGAUGUGGAGUGCUGCAGUUAAUCUAUGUUCUCACCCCACCUCCAGCCCCAGACAACCACAGUAUGCCUUCUGCCCCUACAGGUGUUUAUUGGCAGUGUGCUGGAAAGAGUUCGUAUUCACAGACAACAUCACACACCACUGUCACCAGGGAAGCAAGAGCGUGGGCAAGCCAGCCUGGAGCCCCAGAGUAAGAGGCUCCCUCUUCAAGAGAGUGUGGGAAGGAGCGGGGCCUGGAGUGUUGGGGGCAGCCUGGGAACACCUUCACUUAGUAGGCGUGGUUAGAGAUGAAGAGGGACUCGCUGGCAGCAGCCCCAGCCUGACCACUUGGAGUGUACUUUCCUUGGCUGGCGAGGCUGUUGGCCAGGGCGCGCUUGAUGUACUCCUCCUGCUCCACUUUCUUGUUUUCCUUCUUCCCACCCCAGGCCUUCAGGGCAGAGGCCUGCAAGGCUCUGCCUGCUGUAGGAGAAGGUCAGGGCCCAGGGCUUCAGCAGGGGGCACUUGUUAAUGGUGUUGAGGCUGAUGGAUGUCUCCUCCUCACUUAGGGCUCCAGAAAGGAAGGUGAUCCCAGGGACCGUGGGGGAACUGUGUGGCGCAGUGCUGUGACCAUCGCCAUGGCAGUCUCCUCGUAAGGAAACUUCUGGGUGCAGGCUUGACCUGGGGCAACCAUGUUGGGCUUCAGCAGGGUGCCUUCCAGGUAGAUUUGGUGGUCGCUCAGAGCCUUGUAGACAACAGCCAGCCCCUUCUUGGUCACAUACUGACAGCGUUUCAAGUCAUGGUCCUCAUCAGGGAGGAUCUCAGGCUCCACGAUGGGCACAGUGCAUUGGCAUUUUCCAUGAUGGCGAGGGCUGGGGGGUGUGUUCCCCACUUCAGCACGUGCCUCUUGGCGAAGUCAGCGCCAUCCUUCUUGUACUGGGCACAGCUCUCAGACUACCCAUGCAGCCCUUGGGUUGUGGUCUCACCAUUUGUUCCUGCCCGGGGUAACCACUCCCUUGUCUACCUUGAUGCCCACAAACCAACCUUGGAUUUGAUAACUUGGGAAAAGGGACGUCCAUCAUCCGCCUUCUGAUAAAGUGUCUCAUGGAAGAGGAUGACGCCCCCUAUGCAGGGAUUUACACGGUCAUCCGCUGUCAGCAGCAGCUGGCGGUAGAAGCGCCGGUUCUCCUCCGUGUUCUCGGUGCCAAUGGACUGCAGCUGCUUGGCAAUGCUCCCAGUGGACUCAUCUGCAGCCAGGAUGCCCUUGCCCAGGGCCAUGAUGAGGUGAGUGAUGUCAGUCAGCUCCUUCUUCUGCUCCGGGGUCAGCUCUGGAUAUUGGUAGGGCAUGGUGCUGGUGGUAGCAAGUUCCUGGUACAAGAGAGGGGUGGGUGUGGGGGAUGUGGCAGCAGAAGAUGGCGGGCUGGCCAGUGGACUCAGGGAGCGAAUGUGGCACUCAUCACCAGGACCCCUUCUGCGGCGCAUUCGGAGAGGAACGCAACGGAUUCAGCCUCGGAGGGGGUGGUGCAAGGGGCGGGAUAAAUGUGCUAUUCUUAAUGUAAUAUUCAAUGUGUAUCUUUCUCACCCACAUGGUAAAUCAAGAACCCACCUUAUUUUUUGAUUCUUUAUCUCCUUUCAACAUCUGCAUGGUUGCUGCUUUUGCUACCAUUCCUCAGAUCCUGCCAACAAUAGGCUGAACAUGGUGGAUAUACCACAGAGAUGGCAGGACAAUCUUAAAACUUCUAUUCUGGAAGUAGCAUGCAUCACUUCUACUAACUUUCAAUUAGUAAGAAAGAGUCAUAUUAAGGAGGUUGAGAAAGGGAAAACAGUUGGAAAGCCAUGUAUCUGUCUACAGUUUGAUUACUGUAGAAGAAAAGUAGAACACUUUUAAGUGAAAGGCCAUGAGUAGUUUCACACUUGUUUAUGUAUUUAAAUGUGGAUGUAUAUGACUAUAUAUUUAGGGCAUAAUUUAGAGAUGUAAUUAAUAAGUCAAAAUAUGCGUUUGGAAGUGGCACAGACACUGCUAAGUUGGCCUCAAACUAUUUUUUAUCUAAUUACAAUAACAUUAAUAUUGAUUGAUUCCCCAUUCAACUCAUGUGAUGGUUAAUUUUAUAUGUUAACUAGACAGGCUAAGAGAUACCCAGAUACCUUCCAAAAUGUUAUUUCUGGGUGGGUCUGUGAGAGUGUUUCUGGAAGAACUUAAUACUUUGAAUCAGUAGACAAAGUAAGGAAGAUCCACUCUUUCUAUGUGUUCUGGAAUCAUCCAAUUCAUUGAGGGCCCAAAUAGAACAAAAACGUGGAGGCAGGGUGAAUUCUCUUUCUCUCCUGGAGCUGGGACAUUCAUCUUCACCCAUCCUUGGACAUGUGAGUUCUAGUUCUUAGGCCUUAAUACUCAAACUGACUUAUAGUAACCAGGUUAUCUGGUUACUCAGCUUACAGACAGCAUAUUGUGUGACUUCUUAGAGUCCAUAUUGCAUAAGCCAAUUCCCAUAAUAAAUUACCUCUUUUGUAUCUAUCUAUCUAUCA